ensembl:lncRNA
GAGCAACAAUCGUGAAAUCCUAGGAUGGUGCUGAGAGAAUAUCCUCCUCUUCAUUCACAUGUGAAGUGUAGGCUGAAGUGCACAGAUAUUGCUAAAGGUUGCUUAGAAGGCUUAACGUGGCUUUUGAGAUGGUGGAUGGGUACAAACAAUGGUAAUAACUAGCUAACUAUAUUUUUGUGUUAGAAAUGAAACCUCCGUAUUCCUCUACUUUCUAGAUCUAUUCUGGGGAGGGGGGAGGGUGUUCUGUAUUAGAAAAUCAAAGGCUAUGGUGGGUGUCUUUCCUAACCUCCACUGUAACAUUGGGUCUUUAAAAUGGAUUGUUUGUCCCUCAGAGAAGACGUGCGUGCAGUCUGAUGGUGAACUAAGGAGACCUGUAUAAUUUGUGCUUGGGUCACAGAACAGAUUAAAUGACAUCUUCAGACAGUGUGGCUGCUCAGCUGAAGGUUGUCACUGAGCUAACGUCUGUGCCAGUCCUCCUCUAUUUUAUGUGGGACACCUCCACAGCAUGGCUUUGACAAGUGGUGCUAGGUCUGCGCCUACGAUCUGAACCUGCAAACCGUGGACGGUCAAAGCAGAGCACGUGAACUUAACCACUAUGCCACGGGGCCAUCCCCGAAAUGACUGUUUUUAAAAACAGCUGUUUUCAGUUCGCAUGAAAGCUAUUUAUUCAUCCAAUAGAUGACUCCAUGUCAGGUACCAGGAAUACGGUGGUGAGCAAGAUAAAGACUCCUUUUCUGGAAUUUACAUUCUACUUGAGGAGACAGAAGAGUUUGAAUGAAAAACGGAGAUUCUGAUUAGAAUUUGUAGUGUGUAUUAACACUUGGUUGGCUAAAUAAACAUCCAUUCCCAACCUUCUCCCUUACUUUCCACCACUGCUGAGACUAAAAGAGCUAGGUGCUUGCUUCCUCAGCUUGCUAGCAUCUAGGGGUAGCCAUAUGAUGUGGUUCUGGCCAGUGCAAUAUAGAUGGAAGUCUUCUGGGGGACUUCUGGAAAAUCAUUUGGUUUUCUGAUUUAAAAAAAAAAGGAGUAGGUGUAUUUAGCACCACCACCCUCUCUCUUCUUCAUUGAAUUAUCCAUUCAAGUUCAAGUCAUAGCAGCAGUCUUCUUGGAACUAUAAAGCAGCAAACCAGUAUUCCAAAGGGAGGCCAAGAGGUAGAAGGAGCCUGGGUUUCUAUGGUUGGGGAACUACUGUGCUGGCAUUGUAGCUCCUUUCUCCAGACUUCUUUUUUAUGUGAGAUAAUUGAAUGUUUUAGUUACUUAAGCCACUGUUAAUUGGAUGUUUUCUUACCCAUAAAGGCAUUCCUAGGAAAUUCAGUAUUAAAUUAAUCUGCAUUAAUUUUGGGAAGGAUGGAUAUUUUUUAUGGUUUUGAGAUUCUGUAUCCAGAAAAGUGUCAUACUGCUUUUCUGUCUUAUUUUAUGUCUGUUAAUAUUUUAUUUUUUCAAUUUAGAUCCUGUGUAUUUAUUUUGAGACAUAUUUAGAUUCCUAUGUCAAAUUUAUCCUGUGCAUUUAUUAAUUGUAGCUACCAGAGUAGGACUUUUUUCCCAUUUCUGAUUAGCUUUUGGUGGUACAGAGACAAGUUAUCAAUUCUUUUUAAAUAUAUCUAUUCAUCUCACUAAACUCCUACUAAUUUUAAUUAGCUAUUAUAGGUAUUUGGAUUUUCUAGCUAUACCAUUCUGAAAAUAAAGAUAACUACACACCUUUCAAUAUUUUUAUUGCUUGAUUUUUAAAAUUUGGAUAGCACAGCAGGUGACUUUAGGUUUUCAUAAUAAUAACAAAUAAUUUCUUUUCACUCAAUUUCCUUGUUCAUUGGUAUAAAUUUCCUUUUCUACCAACCCCUUAAGUUCAUGGAUUAUCCAGUGUGACCUUUUGGCAGUGUUUCUAAUAUUUCAGACUAACCUCAAAGAUUAAAAAUUAUCAUUCACAUUGAAAUAUUUAGUUAGUUGAAUCUUCUGUUAAAUAUUUUUCCAAAUAAAAGUGAAGUCAGUCUGUGAAGAACUAAGGACAACAGUUCUCAAAAAGCUAAGUAUUUAUGUGUGUGUGUAUUUAUUUCAUCAGCUCACCUCUGAGAACUUACCUGUUUUGCUAUCAUUUUUUUUUUCCCUGAGAAGAAGUCAUUUUUCAUGUGAAACAGCUCAGGUUUCAAUGCAAACUUUUCUCACAUAGAUUAUUUCUGAGUUCCACAGAGGGGUUUGCAGUAAUUGUUUCAAACAUCCUAAAAAUCAAAUGGAAGGCAAUAAAAU